AGAGUUUGAUCCUGGCUCAGAACGAACGCUGGCGGCAGGCUUAACACAUGCAAGUCGAACGAUCCUUCGGGAUAGUGGCAGACGGGUGAGUAACGCGUGGGAAACUACCUUUCGGUACGGAAUAGCCUCGGGAAACUGGGAUUAAUACCGUAUACGUCCUUCGGGAGAAAGAUUUAUCGCCGAUUGAGGUGCCCGCGUUGGAUUAGCUUGUUGGCGAGGUAAUGGCUCACCAAGGCGACGAUCCAUAGCUGGUCUGAGAGGAUGAUCAGCCGCACUGGGACUUAGACACGGCCCAGACUCCUACGGGAGGCAGCAGUGGGGAAUAUUGGACAAUGGGCGAAAGCCUGAUCCAGCCAUGCCGCGUGAGUGAUGACGGCCUUAGGGUUGUAAAGCUCUUUCAGUGGGGAAGAUAAUGACGGUACCCACAGAAGAAGCCCCGGCUAACUCCGUGCCAGCAGCCGCGGUAAUACGGAGGGGGCUAGCGUUGUUCGGAAUUACUGGGCGUAAAGCGCGCGUAGGCGGAUCUUUAAGUCAGGGGUGAAAUCCUGGGGCUCAACCUCAGAACUGCCCUUGAUACUGAAGAUCUUGAGUCCGGAAGAGGUUAGUGGAAUUCCCAGUGUAGAGGUGAAAUUCGUAGAUAUUGGGAAGAACACCAGUGGCGAGGCGGCUAACUGGUCCGGUACUGACGCUGAGGUGCGAAAGCGUGGGGGAGCAAACAGGAUUAGAUACCCUGGUAGUCCCACGCCGUAAACGAUGAUGCUACCCGUCGGACAGUAUACUGUUCGGGUGGCCGCAGC
rnacentral:rRNA from 1 species